CUUUUACUGGACCAGGUAACACGGGGUCGAUGAAACCGACGAUGUGUGGGCAGCACAUCGAGAGAUCGUGUUUCGAACAAUCAACAAUGCCCGCUAAGGAGAGAGAGUAAAAGCUUUCUCGAAGGCUUUGCAUUUGAACUCCUAUGACUGGUUACGGACUUGAAGGGAACGUCUUCCUGACAUCCAGGAAAAUGUAGAAAUCUACUGGAACCUAACACCAGAGAGAGGGAGGAGAUGAUAUGCAGCAAAAGGCCCAGCCGGAU